rnacentral:piRNA from 1 species
AGGGAGAUCACUUAAGUUCUUAGUUGGA